rnacentral:rRNA from 2 species
UUAAGUGACGAUAGCCUAGGAGAUACACCUGUUCCCAUGCCGAACACAGAAGUUAAGCCCUAGAACGCCGGAAGUAGUUGGGGGUUGCCCCCUGUGAGAUAGGGUAGUCGCUUAGC